rnacentral:rRNA from 1 species
CCUACGGGUGGCAGCAGUGAGGAAUAUUGGUCAAUGGGCGAGAGCCUGAACCAGCCAAGUCGCGUGAAGGAUGACGGCCCUACGGGUUGUAAACUUCUUUUGUCAGGGAGCAAUUUGGUCCACGCGUGGGCUGAGCGAGAGUACCUGAAGAAAAAGCAUCGGCUAACUCCGUGCCAGCAGCCGCGGUAAUACGGAGGAUGCGAGCGUUAUCCGGAUUUAUUGGGUUUAAAGGGUGCGUAGGCGGAAUAUCAAGUCAGCGGUAAAAGUUCGGGGCUCAACCCCGUCGUGCCGUUGAAACGGAUGUUCUUGAGUGGGCGAGAGGUAUGCGGAAUGCGUGGUGUAGCGGUGAAAUGCAUAGAUAUCACGCAGAACUCCGAUUGCGAAGGCAGCAUACCGGCGCCCAACUGACGCUGAAGCACGAAAGCGUGGGUAUCGAACAGGAUUAGAUACCCCUGUAGUC